GAGUUUGAUCCUGGCUCAGAUUGAACGCUGGCGGCAUGCCUUACACAUGCAAGUCGAACGGCAGCACGGGAGCUUGCUCCUGGUGGCGAGUGGCGAACGGGUGAGUAAUGCAUCGGAACGUGCCCUGAAGUGGGGGAUAACGUAGCGAAAGUUACGCUAAUACCGCAUAUUCUGUGAGCAGGAAAGAGGGGGAUCGCAAGACCUCUUGCUUUGGGAGCGGCCGAUGUCGGAUUAGCUAGUUGGUGAGGUAAAGGCUCACCAAGGCGACGAUCCGUAGCGGGUCUGAGAGGAUGAUCCGCCACACUGGGACUGAGACAC
rnacentral:rRNA from 1 species